CUGAGUGAGGGCCUCCGGUCCGACCUCCAACCCUUUGUGAACCAACACUGUUGCUUCGGGGGCGACCCAGCCUUUCCGGCAGCGCGCCCCCGGAGGAAAUCAAAACGCUGCAUCUUUGCGUCGGAGUAUCAAUCAAAUUGAACA
rnacentral:misc_RNA from 1 species